CCCUUAGAUGUUCUGGGCCGCACGCGUGCUACACUGAGUGGAUCAGCGGGUCAGGUUACGCGAGAGCGUUUCCUAAUCUUCAAAUCCGCUCGUGAUGGGGAUUGACGGUUGCAAUUUUCCGUCAUGAACGAGGAAUACCUUGUAAGCGCGGGUCAUCAUCCCGCGCUGAAUACGUCCCUGCCCUUUGUACACACCGCCCGUCGCUCCUACCGAUUGAGUGGUCCGGUGAGGCUUUGGGAUCUAAGCAAAAAGAGCGUUUCGCUCCUUUUGCUGGGAGAACUCAGUCGAACCUUAUCAUUUAGAGGAAGGAGAAGUCGUAACA
rnacentral:rRNA from 1 species